rnacentral:misc_RNA from 1 species
GGGGAAGGAGGAGGGAGAAAGGGGUUACCAAAAAACAGGGUUUAAGAAGCCCAAACUUUCCACUGAAGUGAAAUCCAAUUAUGUGAGGAUCAUCCGUUUUUUCUCACUCAACUGACAAAUAUUUACAUUAAGAGAAACCUGUAUGACUUUAUUAGUUUAAAGAUUCCUCGCAAACAAACAAGUUGAACUUAAGCAGAUAUUGAGACCAAAAGUAUCAAUCAUAUAAGAAAAAUACACUGUAUGUAGACAAAAUAUAUUAUCCGCAUCAGCAAAAAUUGCUGACAACUAUAUCAUACAAAAUGAAGGUUUAUGCUAAAACAAGAACCGUGUAGUUCACAAUGAUUUAUAUUGAUGAAAUUGCCAGAGAUUCAAGCAUGGUACAUAACAGCAUGAUAAGAAAUACUAACAUAAAUAAACUCAUUAUAUUAAAGAACCAA